rnacentral:rRNA from 1 species
CACCACAACGGGUGGAGCUUGCGGUUUAAUUGGAUUCAAACGCCGGAAAUCUUACCGGGACCGACAGCAAUAUGAAGGCCAGGCUGAAGACUUUGCCGGAUUAGCUGAGAGGUGGUGCAUGGCCGUCGUCAGUUCGUACUGUGAAGCAUCCUGUUAAGUCAGGCAACGAGCGAGACCCACGCCCACAGUUGCCAGCGUACUCUCUGGAGUGACGGGUACACUGUGGGGACCGCCGCUGCUAAAGCGGAGGAAGGAAUGGGCAACGGUAGGUCAGUAUGCCCCCGAAUAUCCCGGGCUACACGCGAGCUACAAUGGUUGGUACAAUGGGUAUCUACCCCGAAAGGGGACGGGAAUCUCCUAAAACCAAUCUUAGUUCGGAUUGAGGGCUGCAACUCGCCCUCAUGAAGCUGGAAUCCGUAGUAAUCGCGUUUCAACAGAACGCGGUGAAUACGUCCCUGCUCCUU